ACACAUGCAGUCGAACGGCAGCACGGGAGCAAUCCUGGUGGCGAGUGGCGAACGGGUGAGUAAUACAUCGGAACGUGCCCAAUCGUGGGGGAUAACGCAGCGAAAGCUGUGCUAAUACCGCANAAGAUCUACGGAUGAAAGCNGGGGAUCGCAAGACCUUGCGCGAAUGGAGCGGCCGAUGGCAGAUUAGGUAGUUGGUGAGGUAAAGGCUCACCAAGCCUUCGAUCUGUAGCUGGUCUGAGAGGACGACCAGCCACACUGGGACUGAGACACGGCCCAGACUCCUACGGGAGGCAGCAGUGGGGAAUUUUGGACAAUGGGCGAAAGCCUGAUCCAGCCAUGCCGCGUGCAGGAUGAAGGCCUUCGGGUUGUAAACUGCUUUUGUACGGAACGAAAAGUCUCUUUCUAAUAAAGAGGGAUCAUGACGGUACCGUAAGAAUAAGCACCGGCUAACUACGUGCCAGCAGCCGCGGUAAUACGUAGGGUGCA
rnacentral:rRNA from 1 species